UUUAACGGCCGCGGUAUUUUGACCGUGCGAAGGUAGCGUAAUCACUUGUCUUUUAAAUAGAGACCCGUAUGAAUGGCAUAACGAGGGCUUAACUGUCUCCUUUAUCUUAUCAAUGAAAUUGAUCUCUCCGUGCAGAAGCGGAGAUAAAAACAUAAGACGAGAAGACCCUAUGGAUCUUUAGUCGCAAGAACAGAACAUAUCCACUCUUACAACUAAGUAAAGAAAACUAUUGAACCCUGUUCUAGUGAUUUUGGUUGGGGCGACCGUGGAGUAAAAAAGAACCUCCACAAGGAAUGAAAAUGUUUUUUCUUAUUUAAGGAUGACAAUCCUAAAAAUCAGAAUUUCUGACCACAUGACCCGGCAAAGCCGAUCAAUGAACCGAGUUACCCUAGGGAUAACAGCGCAAUCCUCUUCUAGAGCCCAUAUCGACAAGAGGGUUUACGACCUCGAUGUUGGAUCAGGACAUCCUAAU
rnacentral:rRNA from 1 species